GUGUGUUGUCUCGAGUGAUGGUGAACUCGUAGGCGUUGGAGUGAUGGCGAACUAACAGCUAAGGACCUCGGGUUAGUAGACCUAGUAAGCAUUGAUAGGACUCACGGUUUAGCUAGUAGAACUCGCUGUUUAGAUAUGACUGACUGUUUGCAUAGGUUAACUCAUUGUCUGGCUUAGAAGUUAGAACUCGAUCAUGUUGUUAGAUACUUAGAUGGUUGUUGUUUGAGAACUAGUAAGAAUUGAUAGGAAUGGCUUGAGCUGUUGUUAGAUGCUUAUUUGAUAGGAAUGGCUUGAUCUGUUGUUAGAUGCUUGUUGUUUGAGAACUAGUAAGAAUUGAUAGGAAUGGCUUGAUCUGUUGUUAGAUGCUUGUUGUCUUGAGAAUGUUAAUGUUGCUUGUCCUCAAGCACGUAACUUCUAUUUUUUUUUUUUAAGUAUCAAAAUUUUACAAAAUUUAAUUAAAAAAAUUAACUUUAGUAAAAAAGCCUACCUCCACUUAGUCACGUAUCUUAGAAGUUAGAACCAGCCGUAAGUUAGAACUUAGAAUUAUCGAAAAAAACCAGCAACAAUAGAAACUUGAGAGACGAUGGGAUCAUCUAGAGAAGACUCGGAAGAGGAGUUCACUUUGAAUACCGACUAC
rnacentral:lncRNA from 1 species